GAUGAACGCUGGCGGCGUGCCUAAUACAUGCAAGUCGAGCGGACAGAUGAGGAGCUUGCUCCUCUGACGUUAGCGGCGGACGGGUGAGUAACACGUGGAUAACCUACCUAUAAGACUGGGAUCACUUCGGGAAACCGGAGCUAAUACCGGAUAAUAUAUUGAACCGCAUGGUUCAAUAGUGAAAGACGGCUUUGCUGUCUCUUAUAGAUGGAUCCGCGCCGCAUUAGCUAGUUGGUAAGGUAACGGCUUACCAAGGCAACGAUGCGUAGCCGACCUGAGAGGGUGAUCGGCCACACUGGAACUGAGACACGGUCCAGACUCCUACGGGAGGCAGCAGUAGGGAAUCUUCCGCAAUGGGCGAAAGCCUGACGGAGCAACGCCGCGUGAGUGAUGAAGGUCUUCGGAUCGUAAAACUCUGUUAUUAGGGAAGAACAAAUGUGUAAGUAACUAUGCACGUCUUGACGGUACCUAAUCAGAAAGCCACGGCUAACUACGUG
rnacentral:rRNA from 1 species